GAUGAACGCUAGCGGCAGGCCUAAUACAUGCAAGUCGAACGGUGAUAGCAAUAUCAUAGUGGCGCACGGGUGCGUAACACGUAUGCAACCUACCUUAUGCUGAGGGAUAGCCUUUCGAAAGGGAGAUUAAUACCUCAUAACACAUUGAACUGGCAUCAGUUUAUUGUUAAAGAUUUAUUGGUAUAAGAUGGGCAUGCGUCCAAUUAGUUAGUUGGCGAGGUAACGGCUCACCAAGACGAUGAUUGGUAGGGGAACUGAGAGGUUAAUCCCCCACACUGGCACUGAGAUACGGGCCACACUCCUACGGGAGGCAGCAGUAGGGAAUAUUGGGCAAUGGAGGCAACUCUGACCCAGCCAUGCCGCGUGCAGGAAGAAGGCGUUAUGCGUUGUAAACUGCUUUUAUAUAGGAAGAAAUAGACCUUGCGAGGUAAGUUGACGGUACUAUAUGAAUAAGCACCGGCUAACUCCGUGCCAGCAGCCGCGGUAAUACGGAGGGUGCAAGCGUUGUCCGGAUUUAUUGAGUUUAAAGGGUGCGUAGGCGGUUUAUUAAGUCAGUGGUGAAAGACGGUCGCUCAACGAUUGCAGUGCCAUUGAUACUGGUAGACUUGAGUGGGAUUGAGGUAGCUGGAAUGGAUAGUGUAGCGGUGAAAUGCAU
rnacentral:rRNA from 1 species